CACGUAGGGGACGAGCGUUGUCCGGAUUCAUUGGGCGUAAAGCGCGCGUAGGCGGCCCGGCAAGUCGGAUGUGAAAACCUGGGGCUCAACCCCAGGCGUGCACCCGAUACUCCCGGGCUGGAGGCAGGUAGGGGAGAUCGGAAUUCCUGGUGUAGCGGUGAAAUGCGCAGAUAUCAGGAGGAACACCGGUGGCGAAGGCGGCCCUCUGGACGGAUACUGACGCUGAGGCGCGAAAGCGUGGGGAUCAAACAGG
rnacentral:rRNA from 1 species